GGCCGCCCGGGCGCCCUGGUCCCAGCUGCGCGCCGGGGAGCGCGAACGGCAGCUGGGGCUCGGCUGGAGCCGCGAUUCGUCCGCCCCGGCCGCCCCUCAGUCUCCCUCCGCUCGCACCUACCCCCGACACCCGGAGAAAAGCGUGCGAGGGCGCCGAGAGGGACGGAAACCACAAAUAAAUAGCGGCGGCAGCAGCGCGUCAUCUGGCGGAGCAGGAAGUGCAGGCAGAGUCCGGAGGCUGGUGCUUUCUGCGCGUCCCCAGGACUUUGCCAUGGGCUGGGGGCCGCGGAGGCUGCGAGCGGCCGGGCCAGGGCAGCGGCGGCGGUGUCCGCUCCGGGGCUGAGCAAGCAGCUACGCGCGAGGCGCGCGGAGAUGGCAGCGUCCAGCAACUCCAGCCUGUCCGGCUCCUCAGUGUCCUCCGAUGCUGAAGAGUACCAGCCUCCAAUAUGGAAAUCGUACUUGUAUCAGUUACAGCAAGAGGCCCCUCGUCCCAAGAGGAUCAUUUGUCCUGGGGAGGUGGAAAACAGACCAAAAUAUUAUGGAAGAGAGUUUCACGGGAUCAUCUCCCGAGAGCAGGCAGAUGAGCUUCUCGGAGGCGUGGAGGGCGCCUACAUCCUUAGAGAAAGCCAGCGCCAGCCAGGGUGCUACACGUUAGCCCUAAGGUUCGGAAACCAGACCUUAAACUACAGGCUCUUCUAUGAUGGAAAACACUUUGUGGGCGAGAAGAGGUUUGAAUCGAUUCACGAUCUGGUCACAGAUGGCUUGAUAACGUUGUACAUAGAAACAAAGGCUUCCGAAUACAUUUCCAAAAUGACAACAAACCCCAUUUAUGAACACAUUGGAUAUGCCACUUUACUCAGAGAAAAAGUCUCCAGGAGGCUAAGCAGAUCUAAAAACGAAUCAAGGAAAGCCAGUGUCACAAGUGAAGAACACACAGCUGUGGAAAAGAUCUCCUCCCUGGUCCGAAGGGCCGCCCUCACACACAACGACAACCACUUCAACUAUGAGAAGACACACAACUUUAAGGUCCACACUUUCCGAGGCCCGCACUGGUGUGAAUACUGUGCCAACUUCAUGUGGGGGCUCAUUGCCCAAGGGGUCCGGUGCUCAGACUGUGGAUUAAACGUACACAAGCAGUGUUCCAAGCACGUUCCCAACGACUGCCAACCUGAUCUCAAGAGGAUCAAGAAAGUGUACUGCUGUGACCUCACGACGCUCGUGAAGGCUCACAACGCUCAGAGACCUAUGGUGGUGGACAUAUGCAUUCGGGAAAUUGAAGCAAGAGGAUUAAAGUCAGAAGGCCUUUAUAGAGUCUCUGGGUUCACUGAACACAUUGAAGAUGUUAAAAUGGCAUUUGACAGAGAUGGUGAAAAGGCAGAUAUAUCUGCCAACAUCUAUCCAGACAUAAACAUCAUCACUGGAGCCCUUAAACUGUAUUUCAGAGACUUACCCAUUCCCGUCAUCACCUAUGAUACCUAUUCCAAAUUUAUAGAAGCAGCAAAAAUCUCCAAUGCAGAUGAGAGGCUGGAAGCAGUCCAUGAAGUGCUGAUGCUGCUGCCUCCUGCCCACUAUGAGACCCUCCGAUACCUGAUGAUCCACCUCAAGAAGGUGACUCUGAAUGAAAAGGACAAUUUAAUGAAUGCUGAAAAUCUGGGGAUCGUGUUCGGGCCCACUCUGAUGAGGCCCCCUGAGGACAGCACCCUCACCACCCUCCAUGACAUGCGGUACCAAAAGCUGAUUGUGCAGAUUUUAAUAGAAAACGAAGAUGUUUUGUUUUAAGCCACCAGGGAAAUGAACUGAAUGGCCCCAGCCCCAUCUAAAGCUGAUAAGGCUAAAGAAAUAAAACCAUUUCUUAGACUGGUUCUGUUUUCCAAACAAGUGACAGAAUUUCCUGGACCGCAGUGGACUGCCAGGUCGGCUGCUGUGUCUCAUAGACACUGGCCCCUCGAAGGGAGAACAGCAAAGAUGCGGUGUCUUUUCCUUUGAUUGUCUAAGAUGAUUCAUGUAAUUACUCACCAGUCUUGUUUUGGAGUGACCAGAAGAGCAUUACUGUGUGAUAAGUGAGCUGAAGGCGGGGAGGGCGGUGCAGCUGACAUCCUGGAAAAUCCCAAGGGCUAUGGGGAUGGACUCCAUCGGCACACGGGGGUCAAAACGGUUCUGCUUGGUUCCUUCUAUUAUCAUUCCUCCCAACUGUACAGAUUUGUUUGUUGUAGCUUAUAUACUUCUUGAUACUGUCAAAAAAUUAUCUGAAAUGGUUUUAUUUUGUGAAGUGAACAAUACUUUGUAAUUUAUGAUAGUGUAAAUGGAAGGAAAAGCAUUAAAUGUAUUAAAUUC